GACAGAGGUGCCAAGCGUUAGGCGGAAUCACUGGGCUUAAAGCGUGUGUAGGCGGAUCCUUAAGUACCUUGUGAAAUCCCACGGCUCAACCGUGGAACUGCUCGGUAUACUGGGGAUCUUGAGCUGCUUAGGGGUCGUCGGAACAAACGGUGGAGCGGUGAAAUGCGUAGAUAUCGUUUGGAACGCCAAUGGUGAAAACAGACGACUGGGAGCACGCUGACGCUGAGACACGAAAGCCAGGGGAGCGAACGGGAUUAGAUACCCCGGUAGUCCUGGCCCUAAACGAUGUCGACUAGGUCGUGGCGGCUCUGACGCCGUCGCGGCCGAAGCAAAAGUGCUAAGUCGACCGCCUGGGAAGUACGGUCGCAAGGCUAAA
rnacentral:rRNA from 1 species